rnacentral:rRNA from 1 species
UACAGAGGUCCCGAGCGUUGUUCGGAUUCACUGGGCGUAAAGGGUGCGUAGGUGGCCAGGUAAGUUUGGUGUGAAAUCUCCGGGCUCAACCCGGAAAUGGCAUUGAAUACUAUCUGGCUAGAGGUUUGUAGGGGGGACUGGAAUUCUCGGUGUAGCAGUGAAAUGCGUAGAUAUCGAGAGGAACACCAGUGGCGAAGGCGAGUCCUUGGACAACACCUGACACUGAGGCACGAAAGCUAGGGGAGCAAACGGG